CGGAAAUACGGUGCCGGAUAACGUCCGGCGAGGGCGACCUCAGGGAAAGUGCCACAGAAAGCAAACCGCUCCGCUUGCGGAGUAAGGGUGAAAGGGUGGGGUAAGAGCCCACCGCGGACAUGGCGACAUGGACGGCACGGCAAACCCCACCGGGAGCAAGACCGAAUAGGGAUGACGCGGGCGCGCAAGCGUCCAGCCUGUUUCCGGGCCAGUCAUCCGGGUGGGUUGCAAGAGGCUGCGUGCAAACGUAGUCCCAGAUGAAUGGCUGCCACGUUCCGUUGUCUUCGGGCAAUGGGG
rnacentral:misc_RNA from 1 species